rnacentral:tRNA from 1 species
GGCGUAAUUGGUGAGCGAUACAGACCUUCAGGCUCAUAACCUGAAGUUCGCUGGUUCAAAUCCAGCUCCCGCAACCA